UGAAAUAUGGAGCCCUAAUUUUUCUUGCGGGCGAAAUCGACAUUCCAUAAGCUAUAAACUCCAAACUCAAGUUGUGCGGUUCGUAAUGCAUGUGCUUAAGUUUUAUUGUAUGUUCAAGUUUAGUCCACCGGCAACACCCUUAGCGACCAAUAAGAUUCAAUUUAUGUCCUUGGUGUCCUUAAUCUUUAAUCUUAAUUCUGGUUGAAUUCAUGUAUUUGAUGCCCUAGUUCUCCGGCCUCAAUAACCGCACCAAGUCAUACACAAUAUCCCUUC
rnacentral:lncRNA from 1 species